GACGAACGCUGGCGGCGUGCUUAACACAUGCAAGUCGAACGCAGUGGCGAACGGGUGAGUAACGCGUAAUCAACCUGCCCUUCAGCGGGUGACAACAGUUGGAAACGACUGCUAAUACCGCAUACUGUAGGAGGGCAUUGCGUCUGAUUAGCUAGUUGGAGGGUGAACGGCCCACCAAGGCGAAGAUCAGUAGCCGGUCCGAGAGGGUGAGCGGCCAAAUUGGGAAUGAGACAAGGCCCAGACUCCCACGGGAGGCAGCAGGGGGGAAUCUUCCGGAAUGGAAGGAAGGCCGGCUGAGCAACGCCGGGGGAGGGAUGGCGGGCUUCGGGUUGGAAAGCUCUGGUAGUCGGGACGCGGUACCGAAAUAGAAAGCCACGGCUAACUACGUGCCAGCAGCCGCGGUAAUUC
rnacentral:rRNA from 1 species